UCUUAAUCCUCAUUUUGGGGAUCUUUUGUAAAGGUAUGGAUACUAUUAAUGAGGAAAGACAAGAAUUUAACUAAAAUAGUUUCUAAAGUAGCCACACAUGCAGCCUUUUCAUUGGUAUGUGCAUAUUUCUCUAUUUCUCUUCACAUUGGAAUAAGAGCAGGCACUCUUAAUUCUUCUAGAAUUUGAGUUUUUAACAUAAUGAAAGCUUUACAUUGCAUUAGUUCAACUGCAAAUUUAUGCCUGUAUGCAGACACUAUUUGUAAUUCCUAGUGUUAAAAAUAAAAGUAUCUGAGACCUGUUACCCCCAUACCACCCAGAAUCUCUAACUUUUAAUAUAUUGUGUGUGCCCGCAAAUAUCAUUUGUCUGUCUGCUGCAAAAUUGAAGGUGUAUUUUUAUAGACAAAGUGGAAACCUCUGAAAAUGUAUACCAAAUGUCUUGUUUUAUAGAUUAAUACGGGGAAAAAUUGCAUCUGUGGUUUAUGUUCCAGCUAAUAUCAUGUUUAGGUUUCAAAUUAUGACAGUUUAAUACCAAAAUUGAUUUCAGCAUAAUACAAAAUUUCUAAUUAUCACUGAUAGAAUAAUUACUUUGAGUCAACCCUUAUAAUCUCAUUUUUUUCCU
rnacentral:lncRNA from 1 species